UACGUAGGUGGCAAGCGUUAUCCGGAAUUACUGGGCGUAAAGCGCACGCAGGCGGUCUUUUAAGUUUGACGUGAAAGCUCCCGGCUUAACUGGGAGAGGUCGUUGAAUACUGGAAGACUUGAGGCAAUGAGAGGGGUGUAGAAUUCCUGGUGUAGUGGUGGAAUGCAUAGAUAUCAGGAGGAAUACCAGUGGCGAAAGCGGCACCCUAGCGUUGUUCUGACGCUCAUGUGCGAAAGCGUGGGGAGCGAACGGG
rnacentral:rRNA from 1 species